rnacentral:lncRNA from 1 species
CUCUGUGAUGCCGCCGUGAUGGGGUCAGGGGACCUGGAGCACUCCAGACAUUGGUCUGGGUACCUACAGAGCCUCCCCAUGCGUCAAUAUGGCAUUCUCCAGGGGGCAGAAAAAUUCAAAAAAAUUCAUACGCAGGUUUUGAAAACCAUAAUGCCCACAGAGGCCUCUGGGGGGGCACUGAAAGCCAAACACAGGGCUCUAGUUAGCACUGAAAGCCACACGGAAGGCUUCAGGGAGCACCAGAAGUCGCUUCAAAUUUAAGAAAUACUUUAAAUUACUGCCUUUUCUCUUUGUCAGCAUCCAGAAACACAAUCCUUCCUUAAUCUUAGUGCCUGGCUCUGAGAGCUACAUGGAGCUUAACCUGGACGGCAGCUUAAAAAAAAUUAUAAAUUGAAUAGUAAGGUUACUUACAGGUCUGACUACGGAAAGGCACUCACACCACAAAUCUUGAAUUAACCACUUCCCAAGCAAGGGAACUCACAUAUUUAAACAGAACCACAAGGAUAAUUAAAAGAGACUGGAGGUUGCCAGCACCAAACUACAUUGGCUGAGGUGCUGGUAGAUGUGGAGAGGAGAAAAAGAGGGUUUUUUUAAAAUUUAUUCUCUUUUUUUUUUUUUUUUUUGCUACAUCUGUUUUACCAAAAAAAGAGUAGGAAGUGAUGCCAUGAUUUACCCCACAGGACAGAGCCAGUGGUGCUGUGGAGGUGAAGAACAGCAUCCUGGGGCUGGAGGUGGAAUCAUGUCCUUGAGCCAAGUUUGUUGCUGUGAUUGCACCAGGGCUGCUGAGUGCCUCUGUGCCUCCAGAGCUGGUGGAGGAGCUGCAGCAGAAAUGAUGCUGUUUUGCCUCGAUGAAGCAUCAGAAGUCCCUGUUGAGGAGCACAGCCCUGACGAUAUGGGGAGCAAGAGAGGAUGUGGGCACAGGAGAAGAUGUCGGAUAGCUGUCCUGAAGUGGUGAGUGACCAAAGGUAAACCCCAAGGAGGAUUUGGGGGCCUGUGGUGGGUC